ACAUGCAAGUCGAACGAUGAAGCCCAGCUUGCUGGUGGAUUGGCGAACGGGUGAGCACGUGAGUAACCUGCCCUUGUCUUUGGGAGCCUGGGAAACGGGUCUAAUACCGGAUAUUCUCUUUUGCCGCAUGGUGGGGGUUGGAAAGAUUUUUUGGAUGGGGAUGGGCUCACGGCCUAUCAGCUUGUUGGUGGGGUGGCCUACCAAGGCGUCGACGGGUAGCCGGCCUGAGAGGGUGACCGGCCACAUUGGGACUGAGAUACGGCCCAGACUCCUACGGGAGGCAGCAGUGGGGAAUAUUGCACAAUGGACGCAAGUCUGCAGCGACGCCGCGUGGGGGAUGAAGGCUUUCGGGUUGACUCCUUUCAGUACAGAAGAAGCAUUUGUGACGGUAUGUGCAGAAGAAGCGCCGGCUAACUACGUGCCAGCAGCCGCGGUAAUACGUAGGGUGCGAGCGU
rnacentral:rRNA from 1 species